GACAGCAGCCGCCGCGGUAAUACGUAGGUGGCAAGCGUUGUCCGGAAUUAUUGGGCGUAAAGCGCGCGCAGGCGGAUCAGUUAGUCUGUCUUAAAAGUUCGGGGCUUAACCCCGUGAGGGGAUGGAAACUGCUGAUCUAGAGUAUCGGAGAGGAAAGUGGAAUUCCUAGUGUAGCGGUGAAACGCGUAGAUAUUAGGAAGAACACCAGUGGCGAAGGCGACUUUCUGGACGAAAACUGACGCUGAGGCGCGAAAGCCAGGGGAGCGAACGGGAUUAGAUACCCCCGUAGUCCCUGUCUCUUAUACA
rnacentral:rRNA from 1 species